rnacentral:rRNA from 1 species
AGUUUUGAAUCUGGCUCAGGAUGAACGCUGGCGGCGUGCCUAAUACAUGCAAGUCGAGCGAACAGAUAAGGAGCUUGCUCCUUUGACGUUAGCGGCGGACGGGUGAGUAACACGUGGGUAACCUACCUAUAAGACUGGGAUAACUUCGGGAAACCGGAGCUAAUACCGGAUAACAUUUGGAACCGCAUGGUUCUAAAGUGAAAGAUGGUUUUGCUAUCACUUAUAGAUGGACCCGCGCCGUAUUAGCUAGUUGGUAAGGUAACGGCUUACCAAGGCGACGAUACGUAGCCGACCUGAGAGGGUGAUCGGCCACACUGGAACUGAGACACGGUCCAGACUCCUACGGGAGGCAGCAGUAGGGAAUCUUCCGCAAUGGGCGAAAGCCUGACGGAGCAACGCCGCGUGAGUGAUGAAGGGUUUCGGCUCGUAAAACUCUGUUAUUAGGGAAGAACAAACGUGUAAGUAACUGUGCACGUCUUGACGGUACCUAAUCAGAAAGCCACGGCUAACUACGUGCCAGCAGCCGCGGUAAUACGUAGGUGGCAAGCGUUAUCCGGAAUUAUUGGGCGUAAAGCGCGCGUAGGCGGUUUCUUAAGUCUGAUGUGAAAGCCCACGGCUCAACCGUGGAGGGUCAUUGGAAACUGGGAAACUUGAGUGCAGAAGAGGAAAGUGGAAUUCCAUGUGUAGCGGUGAAAUGCGCAGAGAUAUGGAGGAACACCAGUGGCGAAGGCGACUUUCUGGUCUGAACUGACGCUGAGGCAAAGGGAACAC